ACUCAGCUGACGGGCAGGCUCCUUAUCGUGGAUGCAGGAGAGGGACCACCAGAAAGCACUAGGAACUGAGCCCAGGACCUCCAACAACACACCAGUCAAGAACUCUACUACUGAGUUAUCCUCCCAACCUCUAGUAUGGGUAGAGGGAUCCUGGAAGACAGCCCGGAGGAAGAAGUCACCAUUUGCUACAGAGGGGACAAAUGGCUCAGAAUGGCAAUUCAGGGCCCCCAGCUUUCUGUUUUUAGGGCCAGACCCAGUCCCUGUACCCAAGAAAGUGAGUCUGCCAAGUGUUUGGAUAGGAGUGGAGAAGAAGAGACACCAGGGAAGAUUGGCUUGUAACCUGUCCCCUCCUGGACUGUGAAAAGAACAUAUAGCCCGACCUCCCUGCCAACAAGCUGUACCAUUGGGAAGAGGAGAGCCCAACGGUAGAAGCUCAUCAAUGAUUCCCAGCCUCUGUUUCCAUCAGAAUUGCUUGAUGAAGCUCCUUUAACACAAAUAGAUUUACUCACAUUCCUUAACUGUAAAAGGUGUGCAUGUGCCAGCAGGGGGUUCUGGAAUCAUGUACCUUUGUCAGAGCUCCCCCAUUUAAUUCUGAUACAAUUCCACGUAUUACCUAAAGAGAA
rnacentral:lncRNA from 7 species